AAAAAAAAAUCAGGACUGACAUCUGUUUAGAUGAUAGCAGGGGUCAUGUCCUUGGUAAGGGCCCUCCAUUAGACUUCCUCUGGGAUAUUAAUCAUCAUGUUUCAGGAUUAAUUCUUGUCACUUCAGCAUUUUUCUACCUAACCCACUCACCCUUCAGCAUGAGAUUUUUCCUCAACGCAGAUAUCCUGAUGUACAAAUGCAAAGCUUUAGUGGUGUCCUAAAUCUAUGAUCCCACCAAAUUAUCACUUCAUCAGCCCAAUUUGCAAGGAAUAAUGUUGAGCUUGUUGUAGAACAAUAAUGCACCAAGUUGGUAAAUG
rnacentral:lncRNA from 1 species